AUUGAACGCUGGCGGAAUGCUUUACACAUGCAAGUCGAACGGCAGCACGGACUUCGGUCUGGUGGCGAGUGGCGAACGGGUGAGUAAUGUAUCGGAACGUGCCCAGUCGUGGGGGAUAACGUAGUGAAAAUUACGCUAAUACCGCAUACGAUCUAUGGAUGAAAGCGGGGGAUCGCAAGACCUCGCGCGAUUGGAGCGGCCGAUAUCAGAUUAGGUAGUUGGUGGGGUAAAGGCCCACCAAGCCAACGAUCUGUAGCUGGUCUGAGAGGACGACCAGCCAAACUGGAACUGAGACACGGUCCAGACUCCUACGGGAGGCAGCAGUGGGGAAUUUUGGACAAUGGGCGAAAGCCUGAUCCAGCCAUUCCGCGUGCAGGAUGAAGGCCCUCGGGUUGUAAACUGCUUUUGUACAGAACGAAAAGGUUUCUACUAAUACUAGGAGCUCAUGACGGUACCGUAAGAAUAAGCACCGGCUAACUACGUGCCAGCAGCCACCGUAA
rnacentral:rRNA from 1 species